CUGAAUUGAAUGGCUGAAUAUAAGGAAAUAUAUUCUGCCCCAAAAUAAAAUUUUUAUACGACGAAUAAUUCAGAUCGGUUGCAAUUCUGCAAAGGAUUCUGUCAUGGAUUUGCGCACCGUCACAUGAGGGCAAAAUAUUUCCCACUUCCUCUAAUUGCACCACCACUCUCCCGCGGAGGUGAACACAUCAUUGCGCAGCACUCUCCCACCGACGCAAACACAUCCAUCGCCAGCAACCCCCUCAACGUUGACAUCGAGUUCGAUCCUUUCUAAGGUUUUUGUACCAGUGACCGGGACUUGGGAGGCUUAAUUUUGCUUGGGAAAAAGCCUUUGCAGUUUCAUUAACCUUGCCGAAUCGAUUAGGUUUAGCUCAAUCUCACUUUGCAACUGCAAUUUCAGUUGAUUCUAUGGAUCGACUACUAGCUUGUUGGUUCCUUCGGCUACCGAAAUUUCAAAAUGUGUUGCUCAAUUGGGAAACUCGAUGGGUCAAAUCUGACUGGAAGAGAAAUGAGAACAUGGCUGGUAUCCAGACAAGUGAAGAUUAUAAGUUCUAUGCCAUUUCUGUUGAGUUCCCUAAAUUUACCAACAAAGAUAAGAUCCUAGUUUUCCAGUUCUCUAUCAAGCACAAUGUUGAGAACCAGUCUGGUAGCUUGUACUCUGACCGGGAUAUCUACCUACAAAGAAAAUCAAGGACACCGAGGCGAAAAAGGUUCUUUCAUUUUGGUUCACACAUAUAAACUAAAAAUUCACAUUUGUAUAUCUUGUACUUUAGACAGUGUUAUAAUUUUUGGGUUUCAAUAGCAACCUAAAGACUAGUAUGAUAAGGAAUAUAUUCCUAAUCCUGAAGACAAGAAGCCAGAGGUGAUCAAUUGUUCCAUACAUAAUUGGCAGAGCACAUAUCCUACGCAAUGGUAAUUGUGCAACAUGAUGAUAAGUGCUCGCUGCAACCAACAAUUGAAUUGUGCUGCCUAUGUAUUGCAUGCCUGUAGAAUUUAUUUGUGUGUGUGCAUGUAUGUGUGUUCUAGUCUUGUCUUUAGCUUAUGUUAUAGAACUCAUUUAAGCAUACUAGUUUCAAUAUUCUAUAAUGGGGAAAUGCAUACAUAUUAGAACAUUUGUUUGUGUGCAAAAUGGAGAACAAUCAUUAUCGUAAUGAUGGUGGAUCAUGGUUAAUAUAUAUAUAAGCAUAUAAUUAAAAAUUGAAUUAGAAAUAUAUACUUGAUUGAAAUAUUUUUAAAAUACAUGCAAACAAAAACCAUGAAAUAAUACUGCAUGGCUAUUAGUUUAAUUCUAGAUGUCUAUUGAUCACUAUAUGCUUAAUACUAAUUAAUUUUACAUGAAAAAUAUUUAUCGCAUUUUUAUUUGGAUUUCUAGCUGUGGUUUUCUGACUUAUGUGUGAGUGGAGCAGCGGUGAUUUAUUUGAAUCAAUGUCUUGUUCUUACCGGGGAAUAAAAUUUUCAUUCUAAUUCUUUAUUUGCUUACAUGUCAUGUCCAGAGACAUCAAGUUGGAGGUGUGGGUGUUUGAUGGUAAAGGGGUAGUGAUUCUAUUUAGCAUGCAUGUUUAAGAGAUAUAGUCUUUGCAGGACAGGUAAAGUAAAUCUUUCCAUGUCUUCUUCGCGUAAUUAUUUCAUUUCAGUUUUAUUACUACUACCACUACUAUAAUUUGGUGUAUGUGUAUGUGUCUAUGUAUGCAUGAAAGAAUCCACCCUCAGUCAGAGCACAUCAGAUCACUGUUUUUUUUAAAUGAUUUGAGACUGCCAGAGACUAAAUCUGUGAUGAGAUAAUAGAUAUAUUUUGUGUCCAUUUUUUGUGCUUCCCAUGUUUCUCAUCACUUUUAGAUAUUUUUGGGAUCUUAAUUAACUAUUAUUAUUAAUUAAUUUUUUGGUAAUAAUCUUUUUGUAUUCUUAUUUUAUCUCUGCAUGCGUCUGUCUACACAAGUAUGCUUAAUAAUAAUAAUAAUAAUAAUAAUAAUAAUAAUAAUAAUAAUAAUAAUAAUAAUAUGUUCAAUAAUAAUGUGUAGGAUGUUUUUAUAAUUUAAAGUAGUAGUUUUGUAUUGUGCAAAGAACAUGUUGGGCCUUAUAUAACUUACAGGCUAUCAUCUCUUCGGAUAUGGAAUAUAAAGCUAUAAAUAGAAUAAAGUGAUGCAUUGUUUGUUCUCCAUGGUCUUCUUUUAUAGUUGCUAGUGGAAACUCAUCAAACUAACAAAGUCUUGAAGGAGAUAGUGUUGGUUGUUCUCUUUUUUUUUUUUGUCCGGCAUUGUUUUGAACUUGGCUGAAGGAGAUGGUGAUUGUUUGUUGUGAUCCAAUUCUCAAUUGUUUUUGAGAUUUCAUUGUUGGGUGAUUCUCAGACAUUAGCAAAUUAUCAGAGUGAUGUUUACAAAGCACUGGGGAUAGCAGAAGAGCAAUGUGAGCUUUAAAUGGGCAUGUCCGAAGACUUUGAGCUUGUUAUUGAGAUGGGCAGAACAUAACCGAGUUCCAUGAUGUUUUGUGAUUAUUAUGCAUAAGAUUCGUCCUAAGUUAUAGCCUUCAAAGAGCAAUAGGUACUUCAAAUACCAACUUUAGUGGGUGUUUAAUUUAAAUGGAUCCCCGAUGAAACAGUAUAAAAAAUGCAGUACUUGUGAAACCAAACUUAAUGCUUUUGUGCGAAAGGCAUGUAUCACAUAGCUUAUUAUUAUCAAUUUUUUUUUCGCAUU